GCCCAGGUAGCUCAGUCGGUAGAGCAGGUGAUUGAAAAUCACCGUGUCGGCGGUUCGAUUCCGUCCCUGGGCACCA
rnacentral:tRNA from 1 species